GGAUGUGAGGGCAAUCUGGCCGCAACAGCUGUCACGCCAUUGAUCGCCAGGGUUGAUUCGGCUGAUCCGGCUGGCCAGGCCAGCGUCCCGUUCCUCCCUCACGGGUGCAUGCCUCUGUAAGCUGCACGCUCGGUAGAAGAGGACUACCUUCUCCCAUGGGGCAGGACUGUUCUUCGCUCAGGGGUUAUGCGAGUAGCUGCUCCCCCUGCUAGAACCUCCAGACAAGCUCUCAAGACAUCAGUUAUUCAUAAAGAAAUUUGCAGCUUUAAUCAGAAUUCCACAGAACUUUUUUGAGAGGAACGUGAAAGUAGUU
rfam:Equus caballus chromosome 3, whole genome shotgun sequence.